CCUACGGGUGGCAGCAGCGGGGAAUAUUGCACAAUGGGGGAAACCCUGAUGCAGCCAUGCCGCGUGUGUGAAGAAGGCCUUCGGGUUGUAAAGUACUUUCAGAGGGGAGGAAGGUGUUGUGGUUAAUAACCACAGCAAUUGACGUUACCCGCAGAAGAAGCACCGGCUAACUCCGUGCCAGCAGCCGCGGUAAUACGGAGGGUGCAAGCGUUAAUCGGAAUUACUGGGCGUAAAGCGCACGCAGGCGGUCUGUCAAGUCGGAUGUGAAAUCCCCGGGCUUAACCUGGGAACUGCAUUCGAAACUGGCAGGCUAGAGUCUUGUAGAGGGGGGUAGAAUUCCAGGUGUAGCGGUGAAAUGCGUAGAGAUCUGGAGGAAUACCGGUGGCGAAGGCGGCCCCCUGGACAAAGACUGACGCUCAGGUGCGAAAGCGUGGGGAGCAAACAGGAUUAGAUACCCCCGUAGUC
rnacentral:rRNA from 1 species